rnacentral:misc_RNA from 1 species
GAUGAAGAACGAAGUGAAAUGCGAUAAGUAAUGUGAAUUGCAGAAUUCAGUGAAUCAUCGAAUCUUUGAACGCACAUUGCGCCCAUUAGUAUUCUAGUGGGCAUGCCUGUUCGAGCGUCAUUUCAACCCUCAAGCCCCCGGGUUUGGUGUUGGGGAUCGGGCUGUACUCCAGCCCGGCCCCGAAAUCUAGUGGCGGUCUCGCUGCAGCCUCCAUUGCGUAGUAGCUAACACCUCGCAACUGGAACGCGGCGCGGCCAAGCCGUUAAACCCCCAACUUCUGAAUGUUGACCUCGGAUCAGGCAGGAAUACCCGCUGAACUUAAGCAUAUCAAUAAGCGGAGGA